rnacentral:sRNA from 1 species
GAGCCGGGCCGCCCGCGGCUGUUUGCUGCCCUCCGGCCGGCCGCGGUAUCUGGGGGCCAGUUCGGCCUCCUUUCCCUAGGUCUUUUCGGAGGCGGAGUUUAGUAUCCAAGUCCGCGGGUGUGAGCGCGCGCGUGUGUCGGCGCGCCUCGCCCGGCGCCCCCGCCAGUCCUGCCGGAAGAUGGUCAACGACCGGUGGAAGACCAUGGGCGGCGCUGCCCAACUUGAGGACCGGCCGCGCGACAAGCCGCAGACAAAUCAGCCCCGUUGCUGAGUCUCCGUUUCCUCACCUCUACAAUGGGCAUCUUAACUACCCACAGAAUCUCCACUCUGGGCGCUACCCUGUGCCAGGCACCUGGUCCUGAACCUGACCCCCUGAAUCUCCUCUGCAUCCUUCCCUUUAGCCAGGGCCCUGCAUACAGUAGGGGAUCAAUAAAGAUUCAUCUCCUGCA